rnacentral:rRNA from 1 species
UUGCCGUUGUCAGUAGCAACGGAGGAGGAAAUUAGGGGAGAGGAACUGAGGAGGGAACGGAAUAGAGGGAGACUGAACGGUAGAAGGUUCGCAGUCCGAGUUCACGAAGCAGAGGAGGAGGUGAGCGCACGUGCGUGUGGUAAUGUCUCUUCUUUUUGGAUGUCCUCUCUUUCUCGGGGAGUUGAUUUAGGGAAUUUAGAGGUAGUAAAAGUCAAAACUUCUAUAGAUCUGUACGAGGUGCUAGAGGAGAAGGUGGGUCGUCUUUGAGGACAGGAUAGGGAAGAGACAAGAAGGUUUUAUGUAGCUGCUUCACGACGACGAGGUACUUACAGCCACGAACAAGGACCGCUGAAGUUCGUAGAGGUAGGUAAGGGAACAUGGUCCCUGAAGGGGAGGAGUGGUACCUAGGUAAGUCUCUUCUUUCUGGCGCUAGGCAGCUGGUGUGUACUUCUUAAGGUGUACCUCACUGCUGCCACAACCUGUACCUGUCUUUGUCCAAUGGCUUCUUCCUGAGUUGUUGCUUCUCAAGGUACUUCUGCUUCCACUACUGAUACUGUUGAUACCGCUAGGCAUCCUCACUCCAGUGCACCUGAUGUAGCUGACGGACACCAACUCCACCUCAGCGAUACGUAACAUGAAAGGCGACGAAAGACUAACAUUAUUUACAGUACUCUGUAAAGAGAUACAUACGGAACACCGUUCUAUAUAAAUUUGAACAUUAUGGAAACUACGUAACACGCUACUAUGGUAAAGCGACACAACAGUUGUUACUAGGACCCCAACUGUUUAUAUGUGUCCUCCCAGACCUUCAAUUAAUACCCAAGAGUG